GGAUGCGAUGAUACCAGCACUAAAACACCAGAUCCCAUCAGAACUCCGAAGUUAAGCGUUCUUGGACGAGAGUAGUUCUAGGAUGGGUGAACGAGAGUAGUUCUAGGAUGGGUGACCUCCUGGGAAGUCCUCGUGUUAAGCGUGCU
rnacentral:rRNA from 1 species